UGCCCUAGUAACGGCGAGUGAAGCGGCAACAGCUCAAAUUUGAAAUCUGGCUCUUUUAGAGUCCGAGUUGUAAUUUGCAGAGAGCGCUUUGGCGUUGGCAGCGGUCCAAGUUCCUUGGAACAGGACGUCACAGAGGGUGAGAAUCCCGUACGUGGUCGCUAACCUUCGCCGUGUAAAGCCUCUUCGACGAGUCGAGUUGUUUGGGAAUGCAGCUCUAAAUGGGAGGUAAAUUUCUUCUAAAGCUAAAUACUGGCCAGAGACCGAUAGCGCACAAGUAGAGUGAUCGAAAGAUGAAAAGCACUUUGGAAAGAGAGUCAAACAGCACGUGAAAUUGUUGAAAGGGAAGCGCUUGCAGCCAGACUUGCCCGCAGUUGCUCAUCCGAACUUUUGUUCGGUGCACUCUUCUGCGGGCAGGCCAGCAUCAGUUUGGGCGGUUGGAUAAAGGUCUCUGUCAUGUACCUCCUCUCGGGGAGGCCUUAUAGGGGAGACGACAUGCAACCAGCCUGGACUGAGGUCCGCGCAUCUGCUAGGAUGCUGGCGUAAUGGCUGUAAGCGGCCCGUCUUGAAACACGGACCAAGGAGUCUAACAUCUAUGCGAGUGUUUGGGUGUCAAGCCCGAGCGCGUAAUGAAAGUGAACGGAGGUGGGAACCCUUAAGGGUGCACCAUCGACCGAUCCUGAUGUCUUCGGAUGGAUUUGAGUAAGAGCAUGGCUGUUGGGACCCGAAAGAUGGUGAACUAUGCUUGAAUAGGGUGAAGCCAGAGGAAACUCUGGUGGAGGCUCGCAGCGGUUCUGACGUGCAAAUCGAUCGUCAAAUUUGGGCAUAGGGGCGAAAGACUAAUCGAAC
rnacentral:rRNA from 1 species